GCUGAAGAACGCAGCGAAAUGCGAUACGUAAUGUGAAUUGCAAAUUCAGUGAAUCAUCGAGUCUUUGAACGCACAUUGCGCCCCCUGGUAUUCCGGGGGGCAUGCCUGUCCGAGCGUCAUUGCUGCCCUCAAGCACGGCUUGUGUGUUGGGCCCCGUCCUCCGAUCCCGGGGGACGGGCCCGAAAGGCAGCGGCGGCACCGCGUCCGGUCCUCGAGCGUAUGGGGCUUUGUCACCCGCUCUGUAGGCCCGGCCGGCGCUUGCCGAUCAACCCAAAUUUUUAUCCAGGUUGACCUCGGAUCAGGUAGGGAUACCCGCUGAACUUAAGCAUAUCAAUAAGCGGGGA
rnacentral:misc_RNA from 1 species